GACGAACGCUGGCGGCGUGCUUAACACAUGCAAGUCGAACGGAAAGGCUCUGCUUUUGUGGGGUGCUCGAGUGGCGAACGGGUGAGUAACACGUGAGUAACCUGCCCUUGACUUUGGGAUAACUUCAGGAAACUGGGGCUAAUACCGGAUAGGAGCUCCUGCUGCAUGGUGGGGGUUGGAAAGUUUCGGCGGUUGGGGAUGGACUCGCGGCUUAUCAGCUUGUUGGUGGGGUAGUGGCUCACCAAGGCUUUGACGGGUAGCCGGCCUGAGAGGGUGACCGGCCACAUUGGGACUGAGAUACGGCCCAGACUCCUACGGGAGGCAGCAGUGGGGAAUAUUGCACAAUGGGCGGAAGCCUGAUGCAGCAACGCCGCGUGCGGGAUGACGGCCUUCGGGUUGUAAACCGCUUUCGCCUGUGACGAAGCGUGAGUGACGGUAAUGGGUAAAGAAGCACCGGCUAACUACGUG
rnacentral:rRNA from 1 species